rnacentral:rRNA from 1 species
GGUGAGUAACACGUGGAUAACCUACCUAUAAGACUGGGAUAACUUCGGGAAACCGGAGCUAAUACCUGAUAAUAUUUUAAACCGCAUGGUUCAAAAGUGAAAGACGGUCUUGCUGUCACUUAUAGAUGGAUCCGCGCUGCAUUAGCUAGUUGGUAAGGUAACGGCUUACCAAGGCAACGAUGCAUAGCCGACCUGAGAGGGUGAUCGGCCACACUGGAACUGAGACACGGUCCAG